AGCAGCCGCGGUAAUUCCAGCUCCAAUAGCGUAUAUUAAAGUUGCUGCAGUUAAAAAGCUCGUAGUUGAAUUUCGGGACUAAUAUGUCGGUCGUGCCUCGGUACGUACUGGCUUAUUGGUUUCUCCUUUCUGAAGAACCAUGAUGUCAUUUAUUUGGUGUCGUGGGGAAUCAGGACUGUUACUUUGAAAAAAUUAGAGUGUUUAAAGCAGGCUCACGCUUGAAUACAUUAGCAUGGAAUAAUGAAAUAGGACGUUUGAUUCUAUUUUGUUGGUUUCUAGGAUCGACGUAAUGAUUAAUAGGGAUAGUUGGGGGCAUUAGUAUUCAAUUGUCAGAGGUGAAAUUCUUGGAUUUAUUGAAGACUAACUACUGCGAAAGCAUUUGCCAAGGAUGUUUUCAUUAAUCAAGAACGAAAGUUAGGGGAUCGAAGACGAUCAGAUACCGUCGUAGUCUUAACCAUAAACUAUGCCGACUAGGGAUCGGAUGAUGUUAAUUUUUAAUGUACUCAUUCGGCGCCUUACG
rnacentral:rRNA from 1 species